rnacentral:rRNA from 1 species
GAUGAACGCUGGCGGCGUGCCUAAUACAUGCAAGUAGAACGCUGAAGCUUGGUGCUUGCACCGAGCGGAUGAGUUGCGAACGGGUGAGUAACGCGUAGGUAACCUGCCUGGUAGCGGGGGAUAACUAUUGGAAACGAUAGCUAAUACCGCAUAACAGUAGAUAUUGCAUGAUAUCUGCUUGAAAGGGGCAAUUGCUCCACUACCAGAUGGACCUGCGUUGUAUUAGCUAGUUGGUGAGGUAACGGCUCACCAAGGCGACGAUACAUAGCCGACCUGAGAGGGUGAUCGGCCACACUGGGACUGAGACACGGCCCAGACUCCUACGGGAGGCAGCAGUAGGGAAUCUUCGGCAAUGGACGGAAGUCUGACCGAGCAACGCCGCGUGAGUGAAGAAGGUUUUCGGAUCGUAAAGCUCUGUUGUAAGAGAAGAACGAGUGUGAGAGUGGAAAGUUCACACUGUGACG